rnacentral:rRNA from 1 species
UACGUAGGGGGCAAGGCGUUGUCCGGAUUUAUUGGGCGUAAAGAGCGUGUAGGCGGCCAUACAGGUCCGUUGUGAAAACUCGAGGCUUAACCUCGAGACGUCGAUGGAAACCGUAUGGCUAGAGUCCGGAAGAGGAGAGUGGAAUUCCUGGUGUAGCGGUGAAAUGCGCAGAUAUCAGGAAGAACACCCGUGGCGAAGGCGGCUCUCUGGGACGGUACUGACGCUGAGACGCGAAAGCGUGGGGAGCGAACAGG